rnacentral:rRNA from 1 species
UACAGAGGUCCCGAGCGUUGUUCGGAUUUAUUGGGCGUAAAGGGUGCGUAGGCGGCGGAGUAAGUUGGGUGUGAAAUCCCGGGGCUUAACCUCGGAAUGGCAUUCAAUACUGCUUCGCUCGAGUACUGGAGAGGAGGCUGGAAUUUACGGUGUAGCAGUGAAAUGCGUAGAUAUCGUAAGGAAGGCCGGUGGCGAAAGCGAGCCUCUGGACAGUUACUGACGCUGAUGCACGAAGGCCAGGGGAGCAAACGGG